rnacentral:rRNA from 1 species
UGGGGAAUAUUGGGCAAUGGGCGCAAGCCUGACCCAGCAACGCCGCGUGAAGGAAGAAGGCCCUCGGGUUGUAAACUUCUUUUGUCAGGGACGAAGCAAGUGACGUUACCUGACGAAUAUGCCACGGCUACCUACGUGCCAGCAGCCGCGGUAAUACGUAGGUGGCAAGCGUUAUCCGGAUUUACUGGGUGUAAAGGGCGUGUAGGCGGGGAAGCAAGUCAGAUGUGAAAUUCCAGGGCUCAACCCUGGAACUGCAUUUGAAACUGUUUUUCUUGAGUGUUGGAGAGGUAGGCGGAAUUCCGUGUGUAGCGGUGAAAUGCGUAGAUAUACGGAGGAACACCAGUGGCGAAGGCGGCCUGCUGGACAAUAACUGACGCUGAGGCGCGAAAGCGUGGGGAGCAAACAGG